GGGUCACCUCCACCCGUGUCUAUCGUACCUUGUUGCUUCGGCGGGCCCGCCGUUUCGACGGCCGCCGGGGAGGCCUCGCGCCCCCGGGCCCGCGCCCGCCGAAGACCCCAACAUGAACGCUGUUCUGAAAGUAUGCAGUCUGAGUUGAUUAUCAUAAUCAGUUAAAACUUUCAACAACGGAUCUCUUGGUUCCGGCAUCGAUGAAGAACGCAGCGAAAUGCGAUAAGUAAUGUGAAUUGCAGAAUUCAGUGAAUCAUCGAGUCUUUGAACGCACAUUGCGCCCCCUGGUAUUCCGGGGGGCAUGCCUGUCCGAGCGUCAUUGCUGCCCUCAAGCACGGCUUGUGUGUUGGGCCCCGUCCCCUCCCCCGGGGACGGGCCCGAAAGGCAGCGGCGGCACCGCGUCCGGUCCUCGAGCGUAUGGGGCUUUGUCACCCGCUCUGUAGGCCCGGCCGGCGCCAGCCGACACCCAACUUUAUUUUCUAAGGUUGACCUCGGAUCAGGUAGGGAUACCCGCUGAACUUAAGCAUAUCA
rnacentral:rRNA from 1 species